GUUUUGAUAGGAUCCACCCCCAGAAGAUGAAAAUAUGGUACCAAAGACAAACUAAAGUAUAAGAUGACGAUGUGAAAUAAACCCACAGAGGAGCCGCCUGAUACUUCUGAAUAUUUCACCUCCCCCUUCACAGGUUUAAAUUCUUCAAUAACUGCACAGCGGAUAAAUAAUCCUUGAUUUUUCUCCAGAGGAUUGUAACGUCUGUAUCUCCUCCUGGCUUUCAGACACCAGUGUGGAUGUUCUUUGCAUUUUGAAAAAGAACAAAUCAGCUGCAGAGCUUCUUUGUGCUGCUUAGUCCAUGUCUUGUUCGUCUUUACAGAAAGUCCUGCUUACCUGACUGUUGACUCUUGGCUGAUGUGACUGUAAUUCUCUCUGUUUUUAAAAAAUAAACCUGCCUCCUCAUGUCUCUGGAGCCCUGUGAUUGGUUCCUA